rnacentral:tRNA from 1 species
GCCGGGAUGGCGGAACUGGUAGACGCGCUGGAUUCAAAAUCCAGUUUCCGAAAGGAAGUGGGGGUUCGAUUCCCCCUCCCGGCACCA